CUCCUACGGGAGGCAGCAGUAGGGAAUCUUGCGCAAUGGAGGAAACUCUGACGCAGCAAUACCGCGUGAGUGAGGAAGGUCUUCGGAUUGUAAAGCUCUGUCGUGAGGGAAAAAUGG
rnacentral:rRNA from 1 species